rnacentral:rRNA from 1 species
GGCCUUUUGUUUAUGAUUUAAGGUCUAGCCUGCCCAAUGAGAUUUUGAAUGGCCGCGGUAUUUUAACCGUGCAAAGGUAGCAUAAUCAUUAGUUUUUUAAUUAAAAGCUGGUAUGAAUGGUUGAAUGAAAAAAUAACUGUCUCUAUUUAAAUUUUUUAGAAUUUUAUUUUUAAGUAAAAAAGCUUAAAUUAUAUUAGAAGACGAGAAGACCCUGUAGAGUUUAAUUAAUUAUUAUAAUAGGAUUUUUAGUAUUUUUAUUUUUAUUAUUUAUAAUUAAUUUAGUUGGGGUGAUUUAAAAAUUUAAUAAACUUUUUUUAUAUUUAUACAUUAAUUUAUGAUUACUUGAUCCUUAUUUUAAGAUUAAAAGAUAAAAUUACCUUAGGGAUAACAGCGUAAUUUUUUUAGAGAGUUCUAAUCGAAAAAAAAGAUUGCGACCUCGAUGUUGGAUUAAAAUAAAAAUUUGGUGUAGAAGCUAAAGUAUUUAGGUCUGUUCGACCUUUAAAAUUUUACAUGAUCUGAGUUUAAACCGGUGUAAGCCAGGUUGGUUUCUAUCUCUAUUUUAAAUAAAUAUUUUAGUACGAAAGGACCAAAUAUUAGGUUUAAAAUUUUAUAUUUGAAUAUAAUU